rnacentral:rRNA from 1 species
GAUGAACGCUGGCGGCGUGCCUAAUACAUGCAAGUCGAGCGAACGGACGAGAAGCUUGCUUCUCUGAUGUUAGCGGCGGACGGGUGAGUAACACGUGGAUAACCUACCUAUAAGACUGGGAUAACUUCGGGAAACCGGAGCUAAUACCGGAUAAUAUUUUGAACCGCAUGGUUCAAAAGUGAAAGACGGUCUUGCUGUCACUUAUAGAUGGAUCCGCGCUGCAUUAGCUAGUUGGUAAGGUAACGGCUUACCAAGGCAACGAUUCAUAGCCGACCUGAGAGGGUGAUCGGCCACACUGGAACUGAGACACGGUCCAGACUCCUACGGGAGGCAGCAGUAGGGAAUCUUCCGCAAUGGGCGAAAGCCUGACGGAGCAACGCCGCGUGAGUGAUGAAGGUCUUCGGAUCGUAAAACUCUGUUAUUAGGGAAGAACAUAUGUGUAAGUAACUGUACACAUCUUGACGGUACCUAAUCAGAAAGCCACGGCUAACUACGUG